CCAAAACCCAUUCAGAAAACAAUCUUCUUUGUUCAAUGUCUGCACUCGAAGCACGACCGAGAAGCCUCAUGUUUUUACUCAAUGUUAAAACUUGACAAAAAUUCCAAAGAACCGAAGAAUUAAUAGUAGUAUGAACAACUUCUGGCCUUGUACCUUUAGGUAUUACUGGUAGAAUUUGUCUAAAAUCUCUGCCAAAAACAACAAUUUUUCCAUCGAAGGGAAUGUGUUUAUUUUUUUCAUCAACAGACUUGAGAAUAUUUUUUAAAGUUCGAUCAAUAGUUUCGAAAUAGUGUUUGUGCAUCAUUGGUGCUUCA
rnacentral:lncRNA from 1 species